rnacentral:rRNA from 1 species
CUGGGAUUAGAUACCCUGUUAUUUGAAAUGUAAAUUAUUUAUUUAGGUAGUAAUAGUUAUGUUCUUGAAACUUAAAAAAUUUGGCGGUAUUUUAGUCUAUUCAGAGGAACCUGUUCUGUAAUUGAUAUUCCACGUUGGACCUUACUUAAAUUUGUUUAGCAAUUUAUAUACCGUUGUUAUUAAAAUAUUUUUAAGAAUAAUAAUAUUUAAUAAUUUUGAUAAAAAUUUAUAUCAAAUCAAGGUGUAGUUUAUGUUUAAGUAGAAAUGGGUUACAAUAAAAUUAUUUUUGGAUACAAAUAUGAAAAAUUUAUUGAAAUUGGAUUUGAUUGUAAAAUUAUAAAGAUUAAUAAUUUGAUUUUAGCUCUAAAAUAUGUACAAAUCGCCCG